rnacentral:lncRNA from 1 species
GUCCUGCACUGUUUAAUAGAUAAGUAUGUGUAUUUUAUCAGUCAAAUAUUUCUAUCUAACUAUAGAUGGAUGUCUAGUAAAUAACUAACAAUCUUUAAUGCUUUUGGGAACUACCACUAUACUACCGGUAAAUAUUAUCUCCAAUAUUAUCAUCUUUUGUUGCUAGAGUUUCUAUAGUUGAUCGUGAAACAUGGAAAUCAGAGUCAUUU